CGUUCCCCUGCCGUCGCCGACGAACCACAUUACGGCCGCUGCUACUCCGGUGCUCGCUCGCUUCUCUCUUCGGGCUCGUUGCUGCUCCGUCGUUCGUUCCGCCAUUCCCGGGGUCGCAGAUGCAGCACGCGUAGGAGAAGCAGGCCUCUUCGAGCUCCCCUCAACGUCGGCGAGCGUCGCCCGCCGAGCGAGACCCCCACACACCGGAAGGCUCGGAGGCGAGGUUGCUGGAGAAGCUGGUGCCGUACGCGAAACGCGACGCCGACGGCCCUCCACCUCCGCCGGUUGCCUCCGUCGGCGUCGGAGUCCGUCGCCCCCGACUCCGACGCCGACGCCCCUUCGCCUCCCUCUCGCGACCUCCGCUCCGCUCUCUCCCUCUUUCCUCUGCGGAGCGCCCUUACUGGCCAACCCCGCGAGCAACCUCUUUCCGAGUCUCCGUCUCCUUCGCGGCCAGCUUCGGUUUGACCAAUCGGCUGGGGCGUGCUCGAGGGGCUUUGAUCAACUCGAUUCUUGCUCUGCUGGCCAUCCUCUUAGAAAAAAGGCGGCUCGUAAUUAGUUGUGUCUUGGCUUUGUAAUGGACCAAGAGUCCCGAGUGGAUGAGGACUUCCCCCUCUUCCAGAAAUGCUCCAAACAACCUAAAGCGCCACCAUCAUCAUCGAUAACUACUUCCUCCUCCUCCAGUCUUGCAGCCGAGACGUCAAUAAAGCAAGUGGAGAAAGUGAAGGAGGAUACUAGCCUUACUAGCACUAAUGUCUGGGAUGGGAGAAGGCUGAAAAUGAAGUCUUGGUGCUAAAGAAACAACUGGAGGCUGCAACACAAAGGAACUCGACACUAGAAGAUCGAAUCAGUCAUCUUGAUGGAGCUCUUAAGGAAUGUGUGAGGCAGCUCAGAUAGGCGAGGGAAGAGCAAGAGCAGAAGAUCCAAAAAGCUGUGGUCAAGAAAACUGGUGAGUGGGAAUCAACAAAGGCCGAGCUUGAGACUAAGCUUUCCAAUGUCCAUGCCCAGCUUCAAGCAGCCAAGAGUGAAGCUUCUUCAGUUAUAUGUUCUGAUCUCGGCCCUAAGCUUGAUGCUGCUGAAAAGAGAAUGUGGCCCUCAAAGCCAAAGUCCUUUCUAUGUCGGAGGAGCUAGAACUUAGGAUUAUUGAGCGUGAUUUGAGCACCCAAGCAGCAGAAACAGUCAAGAAACGGCAUUUAGAGAGCAUAAGAAGGUAGCUAGGCUGGAAGCUGAAUGCCGCAGACUCAGAUCUUGAAAAAUAAAGCAAGUGCGACAAACGAUCUUAAGUCUUUCUCUGCAUCAUCAGUUUGUGUAGAGUCCUUCGAUGAUAGCCAAUCAGAUGUAGGGGAUAGGUUGGUAACAGUUGAGAAUGACGUGCAGAAAGCGAGUUGCUCGGAGCCAAGUGAUUGUGAGCUGUGCCACUCUGAGUCAUGGGCAUCUGCUCUAAUAACUGAACUCGACCAUUUUAAGAAAGAGAAAUCCUUCGGAAAGAAUCUCAUGGUCUCUUCAGGAGAACUUGAUUUAAUGGAUGAUUUUCUGGAGAUGGAAAUGCUUGCAGCUUUACCAGAUGCAGAAAGUGGAAGCUGCAGCCAUGGAGUGGGGCCUGCUCUGGAUCAAAACAGAUCUGAUGAAGUCACUCUCAAAUCUGAGCUUGAAGCCAUGAUCAAUAGAACGGCAGAGCUGCAGGAGGAAUUAGAGAAGAAGAAAGAAGAAAAGGAGAAGCUAGAGAUGGCUCUAAGUCAAUGGCAAAAGCAACUUGAAACGUCAUGGAGUCAGCUCAAUGAGGUUGAGAUGAGAUUGACAGAACUCAGCAACAUGUUGUCUGCAGCACAAAAAUCGAAGCAAGCUGCAGAGGAGGAAGCAAGGAUUACCCAUGAGAGGAUGGAAGUAACAAAGUGAAGACUGAUGGAUGUUGAAGAGGAGAUGCAAAACUUGCUCCUUAAUGACAAAUUACUACAAGAAGAGGUUGAAAGAGAGCGUGCUUUGUCUGCUGAAAAUGAGGCAAAAUGUGGGGAGCUGGAGGAUGAAAAUCUAAAUAUGAAAGGGGAUGCUGAACUGCAGCAUGAGAUCAAGCUUCAGCGUGUGUCUGUCUCUGAUGAACAGCUUAAAGUAAGGCAGGAGCAAGAGCUAGCAGUCGCUGCUUGCUAGUUUGCAGGUGCCAGAAGACUAUUUCAUCUCUCGCUUAGCAAUUAAAAUCUCUAGUUGCAGUAGACGACUUCUUCGCAGAUUCCGAUCCAAUGUGCAAUCACACGGAUGAAGGAUUACUAAGCCCCGAAAACGAGCUGCACCAUUUAAGCAGCCACCGGUCCUCAUUUCUGCUGAACAAAGAUGAAAUAAUCAUGGUUUAAAGAUUUGAUUAUUCAACUAGCUGAGGCAGGAAGAUGAAAUGAGUGAGGUGAGAUGGGAAGAGUGUCUACUUUGAUCUUUUGCCUUGUGAAUAAACAACCACCGUUGUAAAUGCAUU